AAGGAGAAAUUUUGCGUGCCAAUUAGCUCACAGUGCCAUGAGUUGACUCAUGAGUCGACUCAUGCACUUCAAACCUUCAUAACUUCAAAAAUAUAAGUCCAAACACAAUGAAAUCUUCACCAAUAGAUUUCAAAUCAUUUGUUCUACCAAAUGGUACUAUCAAAUCAGGAUUUUAAUGAAAUUAUGAUUUUACCCUUGA
rnacentral:lncRNA from 1 species